rnacentral:rRNA from 1 species
UACGUAGGGGGCAAGCGUUGUCCGGAUUUAUUGGGCGUAAAGAGCGUGUAGGCGGCCAGGUAGGUCUGCUGUGAAAACUCGGGGCUUAACCCCGAGCCUGCAGUGGAUACGGGCAGACUAGAGGUAGGUAGGGGAGAAUGGAAUUCCCGGUGUAGCGGUGAAAUGCGCAGAUAUCGGGAGGAACACCGGUGGCGAAGGCGGUUCUCUGGGCCUUACCUGACGCUGAGGAGCGAAAGCGUGGGGAGCGAACAGGA